GGUGGCUCAGUGGUAGAGCGCAUGCCUUGUAUGCUAGAGGCCCUGGGUUCGAUUCCUCAGCACCA
rfam:Dipodomys ordii contig_54598, whole genome shotgun sequence.